rnacentral:rRNA from 1 species
UACAGAGGGGGCAAGCGUUGUUCGGAAUUACUGGGCGUAAAGGGCGCGUAGGCGGCCUGUUAAGUCGAACGUGAAAUCCCCCGGGCUCAACCCGGGAACUGCGUCCGAUACUGGCAGGCUUGAAUCCGGGAGAGGGAUGUGGAAUUCCAGGUGUAGCGGUGAAAUGCGUAGAUAUCUGGAGGAACACCGGUGGCGAAGGCGGCAUCCUGGACCGGUAUUGACGCUGAGGCGCGAAAGCCAGGGGAGCAAACGGG